AUACGGAGGGGGCUAGCGUUGUUCGGAAUUACUGGGCGUAAAGCGCGCGUAGGCGGCCUGUCAUGUUGGGGGUGAAAGCCCGGGGCUCAACCCCGGAACUGCCCUCAAAACUGGCAAGCUAGAGACCGGGAGAGGUGAGUGGAAUUCCCAGUGUAGAGGUGAAAUUCGUAGAUAUUGGGAAGAACACCAGCGGCGAAGGCGGCUCACUGGACCGGUACUGACGCUGAGGUGCGAAAGCGUGGGGAGCAAACAGGAUUAGAUACCCCGGUAGUCC
rnacentral:rRNA from 1 species